GGUCCCUCAGUAAGGGCGACUGAAGCGGGAAGAGCUCAUAAUGUGAAUCUGUACAGCUCCAGCUGUGCCGAAUUGUGGUAUACAUUAUCUGUCAGCACUCUGGGCCAAGUCCAUUGGAAAAUGGCAGCUGAGAAGGUGAGACUCCUGUUCUUGCCUGGAGUGUGUGAUAAUAGCAGGUGUAUUAAACGAGUCGAGUUGCUUGGGAUUGCAGCUCAAAGUGGGUGGUAAAUUCCAUCUAAAGCUAAAUAUUGGUGGGAGACCGAUAGCGUACAAGUACCGUGAGGGAAAGAUGCAAAGAACUUUGAAAAGAGAGUUAAAGAGUACCUGAAAUUGCUGAAAGGGAAGCGAAGGAAACCAGUGCUUUAGCAUAUCAUUCUUCUCUUGCUGCUUGCAGUGAGGGCGCUGUGGUAUGUUCAAGGUCAGCAUGGGUUUGAUUCACUAUAGAUAGCUUAUUAGGAGGUAAAUCCAUUGGAUUGAAUACUAGUGAGUGUUAUAGUGGGUCAGACUGAGGAUAGUCACUUGUGCUCGUGAUGCUGGCAAAAUGGUUUUCUUCUCCCCGUCUAGAAACACGGACCAAGGAGUCUAACAUAUUUGCGAGUGCAGAAGUGGCAAACUUCGGCGCGUAAUGAAAGUAACAGGGGUGGGAUUAUUGCACCAUCCGCCGGCCACAAUCCCUAGGGAGAAGGUCUGAUGUGAGCAUACAUGUUGGGACCCGAAAGAUGGUGAACUAUGCCUGAAUAGAGUGAAGCGAGGGGAAACUCUUGUGGAGGCUCGUACGAUUGUGACGUGCAAUCCAUCGUCAAAUUGGGUAU
rnacentral:rRNA from 1 species